AUUAGCUAGUUGGUAGGGUAACGGCCUACCAAGGCAAUGAUGCAUAGCCGAGUUGAGAGACUGAUCGGCCACAUUGGGACUGAGACACGGCCCAAACUCCUACGGGAGGCAGCAGUAGGGAAUCUUCCACAAUGGACGAAAGUCUGAUGGAGCAACGCCGCGUGAGUGAAGAAGGGUUUCGGCUCGUAAAGCUCUGUUGGUAGUGAAGAAAGAUAGAGGUAGUAACUGGCCUUUAUUUGACGGUAAUUACUUAGAAAGUCACGGCUAACUACGUGCCAGCAGCCGCGGUAAUACGUAGGUGGCAAGCGUUGUCCGGAUUUAUUGGGCGUAAAGCGAGUGCAGGCGGUUCAAUAAGUCUGAUGUGAAAGCCUUCGGCUCAACCGGAGAAUUGCAUCAGAAACUGUUGAACUUGAGUGCAGAAGAGGAGAGUGGAACUCCAUGUGUAGCGGUGAAAUGCGUA
rnacentral:rRNA from 1 species